rnacentral:rRNA from 1 species
UCAAGGGAGUUGUUGCUGGCCUCUAGGGGCAUGUGCACGCUUCACUAGUCUUUCAACCACCUGUGAACUUUUGAUAGAUCUGUGAAGUCGUCCUUCAAGUCGUCAGACUUGGUUUGCUGGGAUUUAAACGUCUCGGUGUGACAACGCAGUCUAUUUACUUAACACACCCCAAAUGUAUGUCUACGAAUGUCAUUUAAUGGGCCUUGUGCCUAUAAACCAUAAUACAACUUUCAACAACGGAUCUCUUGGCUCUCGCAUCGAUGAAGAACGCAGCGAAAUGCGAUAAGUAAUGUGAAUUGCAGAAUUCAGUGAAUCAUCGAAUCUUUGAACGCACCUUGCGCCCCUUGGUAUUCCGAGGGGCAUGCCUGUUUGAGUGUCAUUAAAUUCUCAAACUCACAUUUAUUUGUGAUGUUUGGAUUGUUGGGGGUUGCUGGCUGUAACAAGUCGGCUCCUCUUAAAUGCAUUAGCAGGACUUCUCAUUGCCUCUGCGCAUGAUGUGAUAAUUAUCACUCAUCAAUAGCACGCAUGAAUAGAGUCCAGCUCUCUAAUCGUCCGCAAGGACAAUUUGACAAUUUGACCUCAAAUCAGGUAGGACUACCCGCUGAACUUAAGCAUAUCAAUAAGCGGAGGAA